UGCUUAAUUCGAGGCAACGCGAAGAACCUUACCUAGGUUGAACUAUGCAGGAAAAGCCACAGAGAUGUGGUGUCCUUCGGGGCCUGCGAUAGGUGGUGCAUGGCUGUCGUCAGCUCGUGUCGUGAGAUGUUGGGUUAAGUCCCGCAACGAGCGCAACCCUUAUCCUAUGUUGCCAGCGGGUAAUGCCGGGGACUCGUAGGAGACUGCCGGGGUCAACUCGGA
rnacentral:rRNA from 1 species